GAGUGACAUAUCACAUUUUUGUGUCCCUACUCUUUUGAUUGAAAAGAUCAGUCAUGGAAAUUGGAAUUAUGGUGAAAGAGAGAGAGGAAGUUUGGGAUGAAUACAUUUUCUUGCCUUAGAGUUUAAGUCAAUUUCAUUUGGAUGCAGUUGUGCAUGAUAUCUUGAAUAUGAACUAUCUCAAGCAGAGAGAGCACAAGAAUUGUUGCUGAUUUAAUUGGACAUUUGACACCUCACUGGGUCCAUGCUCUGAUGUCUUCCUCUCAAGCAGCUGCACCAGCAGGUGAUGACAACAGUUGGAGCAAGAAGAGUCUUUAAUGAACUGCACAUAUGAGGGGAAGAUUGGUCUAAUUUUAAGUUAAAACAGGUUACAACUUACCACAAAGACAGCACAAGAAAAGAUACUUUAGCAUUUUCUAGUGAUUCACAUUAUUUAAUUUUUUAUUUAAAUUGGUAUAACCAUCAAAGAUAUUCCUGAUAUGAGGACUGAGAUUUGAUUUUAAGUUUUAAUUAUUUAGAAAAAGGAAAAGGUAAAGGCCCUGGAAGUUCUAUUGGGUUUGCUAAUUCUUUACUAUUUUGAGGACAGAAGUGACACUUAGAGGCUUUGGCCUUGAAUUUCAGAAGCAAGGCCCUCAAGUCUUUGAGGGAGGUCUGUUGGGGAUUUAAUGAUUUUGAUGAUAUCAAAACUUACCUGGAAUAAGAACAAAAGAGAAGCACCCUGAGCACAUUGGAAUCACAUAGUCCUGUUAUUUUUCACAGACAAGAAUUCAGGAUAAGCAGGUCUUUCUUGGCUCCUGUCCCAGUCAGUUUGGUUGAAUUGCCACGGUCACCAAACAUUCCCCUUUAAAGACUGUUCCUCUGUAAAGACGCAUGAUGCUACCCCUAAAGAGAAUAUUCUAGCAAGGUUUCGGUAAAUUCAAUAACGAGUGCACAGUGAAUUGCAGAAGCUAUUUGUAACGUGGUUAGAAUACUGUAGCUCUAAUAUUGGGAGAGAUUAGACACUUCUUAUCUGGCACUGACAUCCGAACCUCUUCAUCAGCCACUAGUGAGUCAUAUUUUGCCAUCCUACCAUGAUAAAGACUCAAGGUGCCCAGAUACCCUAUUUUCCAGCCUUUCAGGUGGUGGAGAGAAAAGCUUGGGAAAACAUUGCUGAGUCUUUUGCAAAAGACAGUGCUCACUGAAGAGAGCAGCAUGUGAGGAACAAUUCCCCUUCCUUCCUUUCCACCCUGCUUUGGAUGCUGACUUGUGAGGACAUGAGGCUUGAAGCUGCGAUAGCCAUCUUGCAAUCAUGAUGGAAAAAUAUGGAGGGCACACUAAGGAAUGGUUUCUGGGAACAAU
ensembl:lncRNA